CAGUCGCCGCGGUAAUACCAGCACCUCGAGUGGUCAGGAGGUUUAUUGGGCCUAAAGCAUCCGUAGCCGGUUGCAUAAGUUUUCGGUUAAAUCUAUGCGCUUAACGUAUAGGCCGCCGAAAAUACUGUGCAGCUAGGGAGUGGGAGAGGUACACGGUACUCGAUAGGAAGGGGUAAAAUCCUUUGAUCUAUUGAUGACCACCUGUGGCGAAGGCGGUGUACCAGAACACGUUCGACGGUGAGGGAUGAAAGCUGGGGGAGCAAACCGGAUUAGAUACCCCAGUAGUCCCUGUCUCUUAUAA
rnacentral:rRNA from 1 species